rnacentral:lncRNA from 1 species
UUUGAGUCAAGUUUUUCAUUACUAAGUUUCUGCAUCAAACUCUAACAUCAUAUUCUACUUCUUCUUGGUUUACGAGAAAUUUGUCUAACAACAUUAAGACGUCAUUUUGAUUUCUGCGAUGACACCAUUUUUGUCUUCUCAGUGAGAUUUUGCAAUAGACUUUGUCAUGGUCAAAUAUUUCCAUGGAGCAAAUUCUAGAAGAUGACAAAUCAAGUUUCAUUUGUAAAUGACAACAGUAAAUAUGGUUUACAUUUGUUAGACAUCAUGUUGUCAAACGACCUCUCGGACUAUAAUAUAAACCAGUUUUAUCAGUCGACAUGAAUGACUGAACGAUAAAUCAACACCGAAUAAUGGGAUGACCCGACUUAACGUUGUUUUACCUAUUGGAUGGCUAAUAAACCUUUGUGACUUGUUGGUAUGCUAUUGGGCCAUAACCCUAGUCGAGCCUACUUACCAUAUGUAUAACUUACCUUAGUUUGUCAUUGAUUUACAAUAUAUAUUGGUAAUUCUCAUGUCCCAUUUUUGUGUGAAAAACCCGAGAGAGAGAGAGAGGCAGUCUUCUUCUUCUUCGUGCAUCCUACUGAUUGAUCUUCUCUACCUCUUGCUUGUGUCUUUGUGACCCUUACUUGUGUGGUAUUCAUCCUUUGUGAGUGAGCAAACAAUAAGCAAAAGGAAGAAAAGCAACCAUAGGUAGAACUUGGCGGCGGAGGCGGGUACCUUCGAUUUUGGUGUUGAUUCGGUGUUUUAAAGGUUAACUGAGCCCGGAAAUCAUCUUGAGCAGUUAGAGAAAGAUCCUAACAACAUUGUUACCUCUUCAAAGCCCGAAUGGACGGAGGAGGAAACAUGAAGUCUUAUUGAAGAAAAUGAAAUAUUCCUUAGCUCAAUUUCUG